UCCUGGAGCGAAUGAAUACCCUUCUGGCCAACGGAGAGGUAAUUAGGUGACGUGUUGCGUUGCAUUACGUGUUACCAGGGGACCAGUAAGUCAGCACUGUGCUGUUUCCCAGGUGCCUGGUCUCUUUGAAGGAGACGAGUAUGCCACCUUGAUGACGCAGUGCAAAGAGGGGGCACAGAAGGAAGGCCUGAUGCUGGACUCGCAUGAGGAGCUCUACAAGUGGUUCACUAGCCAGGUUAUCCGCAACCUCCACGUCGUGUUCACCAUGAACCCGUCCUCCGAGGGACUCAAGGACCGGGCAGCCACAUCGCCAGCACUUUUCAACAGGUGUGUGUUGAAUUGGUUUGGAGACUGGUCCACCGAAGCACUGUAUCAGGUUGGCAAAGAAUUCACAAGUAAGAUGGACCUGGAGAAGCCAAAUUACAUCGUGCCUGAUUACAUGCCAGUUGUGUAUGAUAAGCUGCCACAGCCACCAUCCCAUCGGGAAGCCAUUGUGAACAGCUGUGUGUUUGUUCAUCAGACUCUUCACCAGGCGAAUGCUCGGCUAGCAAAGCGAGGCGGCAGAACGAUGGCCAUCACCCCUCGCCACUACCUGGACUUCAUCAAUCACUACGCCAACCUGUUCCACGAGAAGCGGAGCGAGCUGGAGGAGCAGCAGAUGCACUUGAACGUGGGGCUCAGGAAGAUCAAAGAGACAGUCGACCAGGUAGAAGAACUGCGU
rnacentral:sRNA from 1 species